UCCACAUCAGGCCAAACACGAACAGCUUGUGGAGAUGGUCCACGGAGGAGACACCACCUUCUUCUUUGGAAGGGAUUAAACCUUCCAGGAGAUUGAGAGACUGCAAGAGAUUUCAGAUAAGAUCCAUUUUUAUUUUAUUUAUUUAUUUAUUUUGUCUCGGUUUUAAAAAAAAAAAAAAACGGUCAGGUUGACAUUUUUUGAAGGGAGAAAACCGAGAGCAAGAGAGGGGAAGAGGAAAGAAAACGGGAAUAUCUCAAGACGCCGCCUGAUGACUGUCCCUAUAGUCGCCAGCGUUAGAGGAGAGAAGGUUUCAGACCGGCUGUGUGAACAACAGAAACGGAAACGGAAACGGAAAUGACGCUGAGCUGGGACCCCGCCUCCUGCUGCCGAGUCUGCUUUUCCAGUCUGAAAAGUAAAAGGCCUCCUCCUCUGUUGCUUCUGGCUCCAGAGUUAAGACUACCAGGUGCCCGUCAGGCGGCGGAGUCUCCGAGAGACUCCGAGAGUCUCACCUGCGUGAUGUAAUUACACUCCAGGAGCUGCAUCUUGGGGAUGAGGUUGAGUUUCAUGUAUGUGUACGCGUCUUCAAACACCUUGUCGUACAGACUCAAGAAGGCAGUGGCUUCCUGCUGGGGUGGAGAAGAUCCCAUCUGUCCAGUCGUUGGUGGCUGUGUCCAGCCGGCCGAACAUCUGAGGCGCGGUAAUCGCCUUUGGGUUCAUUCGCAUCUCUCUGUGGGGCCUCCCGCACUCCGUUAAUGACUUCAUCAGAAUUGUUAUGACCGUCGUCUUCCCGGAACCACUGGGCCCGAGGGUCAUCAGGCCGUGCCGUACCAGAGAGGUCUCAUAUAACUGCACCACCGAAUGACACAUUGGAAAACGCAGGUUAUUAGUCUCUGGCUGUUGUUUGUGUAAGUUGGCUGAGAUUUUAAAGGCUUUAAAUAGCA